GAUUUGCUUCUACCCGAGAGAGCUCGGUGCGUGGCCACUCGCAGCCGCUCCAACAGCACGAAUCUGCUGGGCAGCCGCCUCCCCAGAGGCUUCUGGAAAGGAAAGGAAAGGGAAGGAAAGGAAUCCUGUAGGAAGCGCGGAGCCACACCUGCCUUGUUUUGAGCCCAUGACUCAUCCCCGCCCGCCGCCGGGCCUUCCACCUCUCACUCUGCGCGCACGAAGCGCGCCCUUUCCGGCACCGCAGGAGGCGGCCCGGCACCGCGCUGCCGACCUGAGGCGGAGUAACCCCGCUGGCGCCCACCGGCUUUUCCCGCCCUUCCCUUCAAACCCCCGCGGCGGCCAAUCAGCGGGCGGGGCGGGCCAGCCCCCACCAGCGGUCAGCGCCGUGAGGCGGCCGCCUCACCCCGUGCCCGGAGCCGCCGGCGGGGGCCCUGUCGGCUGGCCUGGCCAUAUCGCGAUAGUAGGCGGUGCACGGGAGAUGACGGGCCGCGGGAAGCGGCGGUAGCCCGGGUGCUCCCUGCCGGGCGGCAGGAAACCGCUGCCGGCGAGCAACUGGGUCUUUCCUCUUCCAUUUCUGAAGCUCUUCCUGCAUCUUAUCGAUUUUGGCUGGAUUCAGAGCCCACAAACAGCCCUUCCGAGAAGAAUUGCCUGACUUGUUUUCAACUUUCUCAAAGCAUUUGUUCAAUGAUAAGUUGUGGCGUACAGAAUUCUUCCAGCCAUCUGGAGCUGUCUAGAAAAACAAAUCCAAUCUAAGAAUGGAACAUCAAGGAAAAAAAAAACCUCACCAAAUAUAUUUCUCUCUUUUGACAGGUGAGAUGAUUACUGUCAUUGCUUAAUUUCAUGUGUGUUUAGCCUAAAAAUCAGUUGUGUCCCUGUGACUUAACAAAGUUAGAGUGCUUCAGAUUUGUUUCUGUGGAUUGUAACCAGUCAUGCUGUGAUGGAAUACUUCUUGAAUUGUGAGGUGUAUGCAAGUGAUGAAGUUGCCUAAGAUGGAUGUCCCAGCUCCAGAACAGAGCAAGAUAACCUUGAACCUCUGCUUCCACACGAGUCUGGAGGUGCUGUUGAUGGCAGAGGAAGCCACAAGACCAGUUCUGCCUGUAUUUGAGAUCUGAGAGUCUGGAACAUCUUGUGAUUCAUACAAACAGGACAGAGCGCACUGGGAACAAGACAAAUACGAUUUAAACCUGCUGGCAAGCAACUUUCAAGAACAAAGAAACACUAUCCUGCUAAGAGUGUCCGAAGAAGAAAAUUUAAUAUUAGAUUGAUCCUGGAGUAGUGAAACCAUUACCAAAUCCACGUCAGACAGGAUUCCUGUUGCGAGAAAAUCAAAUUACACUGUCUUGCAGCCAACUUGAAGAGUUUUGUUCAACUAAAGCAGUUUGUUCUUAAGGAGAUGAAGCCGUAUGCCACAAGCAAAGAACAGAAGAGAUCAAGAGGCUUACAUCAGAAACAACUUAGUUUUGUUAGACACAGACUAGAAUACUGUAAUAAGUUAACUUUAUAUCU